AUGUAUGCGGGUUCCAACCCCAAAUCAGAGAUUAGGAACUCUGACCUUCUCUGCAUCUGACCACCUGAACAUUUUCUUCAAGUGCUCCACUGCGGCAGCGAUUUUCUCCUCGCUGACGAAUGCAACAGCACCCAUCGCAUGCCAAAACAUCCCAGACCAUCGGGGUAUACCCAGAACAUCGACACGCAACACCGUCGCCCGGAUACGCUCUACGUUGCAGGUGAGCAGCCAUGGGUGGGCGACGCACAGCUUGGCAAUAUCACAAGGACCAAGCCCGAACUCUCGCAGGAGCGCAACGUUGGGCUUGACCACCCUCUCGAGGUCGGACAUGAGAAUGUAGGAUUUGCGCUUGAUAGCAGUGAGGAGAUUCUCGUAGGACCCGAAGAUGCACAGGCAGUAGUGUAG
rnacentral:rRNA from 1 species